rnacentral:lncRNA from 1 species
UUUUAAUAUAAAAUAUAUUCAUUCGGGAGUCUUACCUUAUAAUAUCCACAUACAUGUUGUAAGGCCCAAAAUUUUCCCGGGCCCAACAGUCCAAUUACAAAAAUAUAAACCCAAUUUAAACCCAAAUAAAUCAAAACCCUAGGGCCCAAAUGGCCCAAAAUCUAAAGUAAAUUUUUAGCUAAAUUUUAGCAGCAAAAAAACCCUAGCCGCAUGACCUGCUACUGCCGUCGCUUCGCCUCCUCGCGCGCCUGCGCCGCUCGCCGCCACCACUCGCCUAUCACUGGCCUUCCACGCCACUGACACCUGCAGAGAAAAAUAAAUGCAAGGCAACAGAAGAAUCCGGCCAAAUAAAGAGCAAAAAGACAAAGAAUAGAAAUCAAUAGUUGUAAUACGGCUAUAAAAGCCAAAAUGUUCUCGUUGUAUUUUUUUACGCACACUAAGCAAUCAAAAAGCAGAACAGAAAUUUGAAAAGGUUGAUUAAAAUCUCUUACUGUUUCCUGUUUGUUUUUCUCUUUUUUUUUAUUUUUUUAUUUUUUAUUUUUACAAAUCCAUUUGAACGAAAACUAGAAUAGAAAAGCAAGAAAAAGCUUACUUGGGCGUCACGAUCCCAUCGUCGGAGUCCCUUUCUCCGUCGCCGGAGCCGAGUUUUCAGAGAGGGGAUGAGGAAGACUUUAUUUUUCUUUCCCAUUUUUGUGGGCACGGGCUAAAAACCUUUCUCUUUUUCCAUGCGACUCCGGCCACCAUCCUUGGUGGCGUCGCAGUGGAGAUGUGGUGGAUGACGGCGGGGUUCCAAAGCUAGGCUUGGAGCCCUAGCAGAGAAAGGGGAAGCCCCUUUUCAUUUUAUUUUUCUAUUCUUUGUAACAAAUGAAACAG